rnacentral:rRNA from 1 species
GAGUUUGAUCAUGGCUCAGGAUGAACGCUGGCGGCAUGCCUAACACAUGCAAGUCGAACGAAGCCUUCGGGCUUAGUGGCGCACGGGUGCGUAACGCGUGGGAAUCUGCCCCUUGGUUCGGAAUAACAGUUGGAAACGACUGCUAAUACCGGAUGAUGACGUAAGUCCAAAGAUUUAUCGCCAAGGGAUGAGCCCGCGUAGGAUUAGCUAGUUGGUGAGGUAAAGGCUCACCAAGGCUACGAUCCUUAGCUGGUCUGAGAGGAUGAUCAGCCACACUGGGACUGAGACACGGCCCAGACUCCUACGGGAGGCAGCAGUGGGGAAUAUUGGACAAUGGGCGAAAGCCUGAUCCAGCAAUGCCGCGUGAGUGAUGAAGGCCUUAGGGUUGUAAAGCUCUUUUACCCGGGAAGAUAAUGACUGUACCGGGAGAAUAAGCCCCGGCUAACUCCGUGCCAGCAGCCGCGGUAA